CCCCAACAGAGGAAUGCAGUUCCUAGGACGAUGGCCCUUCCCAGGCCUCUGCCCGUGUCUCAUUUCUUUGCAAGCUACCUUCUGUAAACCUCAUCCUCCCUGUGUACGUUACCUACCGCCUCGGACUGUGGUGAGGACUGAGAUAGGCCAUGUAAAUUCUCUGAUAGGGUGGUUGCCCCAACCCCACACACCUCGGAGACGAUGGAAGAAUCUCCAAGUGCCCGA
rnacentral:lncRNA from 1 species